UGGGGAAUAUUGCACAAUGGGCGCAAGCCUGAUGCAGCCAUGCCGCGUGUAUGAAGAAGGCCUUCGGGUUGUAAAGUACUUUCAGCGAGGAGGAAGGCGUUGUGGUUAAUAACCGCAGCGAUUGACGUUACUCGCAGAAGAAGCACCGGCUAACUCCGUGCCAGCAGCCGCGGUAAUACGGAGGGUGCAAGCGUUAAUCGGAAUUACUGGGCGUAAAGCGCACGCAGGCGGUCUGUCAAGUCGGAUGUGAAAUCCCCGGGCUCAACCUGGGAACUGCAUCCGAAACUGGCAGGCUAGAGUCUUGUAGAGGGGGGUAGAAUUCCAGGUGUAGCGGUGAAUGCGUAGAGAUCUGGAGGAAUACCGGUGGCGAAGGCGGCCCCCUGGACAAAGACUGACGCUCAGGUGCGAAAGCGUGGGGAGCAAACA
rnacentral:rRNA from 1 species